GCCUGAGUGGCUCAGUCGGUUGAGCGUCCGACUUCGACUCAGGUCAUGAUCUCACGGUUUGUGAGUUCAAGCCCCACAUCGGGCU
rnacentral:tRNA from 1 species